GUUUUAUAUCUUGUUAAUUUAUAUUUUGAUAAAAAAAUUAUGUUUGAAAAGUAAUUUAUAAGAAUAAUUGUUAGUAGUUGUUAACGAAUAUUUGUAUAAUAUGGCUAUAGAGAAGAAUACUGUGAGAGGAAAGAUUUAUAAAUAAGUUAAAAAUAGUUAAGUAGAGGUUAAGUUUUGUACCUUGGGUAUCAGGGAAAAUUAAUAUAUUAUUAAAUAUUAUUAGAGAUCUCGAAAUAAAAAUAGCUAAUUUUAUAAGAAAGUUUUUAUAACAUAAAAAUUUUUAAUAUAAAAUUAGAGGUGAAAUGCUAGUCGAGUUUUAUGAUAUCUGGUUCUUUAGGAAAUAAAUAUAAUUUAGUUUUUAUAGUUAAUUUAUAUAAAUAGAAAAAAUAGAAGGGAUAAGCUUUUUGUUUUAAAAAUAGCUGAAAUAAAUAAAAUAAAUUAAUCUAAGCUUGAAAGUAGCUAUGUUUAUAAAGUGUUUUAACUAAAAAUUAAUAUAAUAUUAUUUUUAUAAAGCUUUUAUAAAUACUAGAGAUUUAUUUAAAAUAAAAUAUGAAAAGAUAAAAUGAUUUUAUUAGUAGAAAUAUAAUAUUUAAAUAAUUAGAUUGAUUAAUGGAGAAAUUAUUUUAAUAAUUAGGUGAUAUAGAGGAAUUCGGCAAAUAUAUUUCUUUGCCUGUUUAUCAAAAACAUGUUUGUUUGAAGAUAUAGGUAAUCUGGCCUGCCCCCUGAUUUUAAAAUUAAAGGGCCGCAGUAUUAUAACUGUGCAAAGGUAGCAUAAUCAUUAGGUUUUUAAUUGGAAUCUUGUAUGAAUGGUCGGACAAAAGAAAAACUCUCUUUAUAUUAAAUUUUAAAUUUAACUUUUAAGUGAAAAGGCUUAAAUACACUAAAGGGACGAUAAGACCCUAUAAAACUUUACAUUGUAAUUAUAUUUUAGUAAAUUUAUAAAAUAAAAAUUUAAUUUAAUUAUUUGUUAUGUUGGGGAGACAUAAGUAAACAUUAUUUUAACUGCUUUUAUAAUAAAACAAUUAUUAAUGAAUAGAGUAAUGAGAUCCUUUUUAAAGAUUAAUAGAUUAAGUUACUUUAGGGAUAACAGCGUAAUUUCUUUUGAGAGUCCUUAUCGAAAAAGAAGAUUGCGACCUCGAUGUUGAAUUAAAAUAUCUAUAUAAUGGAGAGGUUAUAUAAGAAGGUCUGUUCGACCUUUAAAAUUUUACAUGAUUUGAGUUCAAACCGGUGUGAGCCAGGUUGGUUUCUAUCUUUUAGAAUAGGAAGGAUYAUUUUAGUACGAAAGGAGUAAAUAAUUAAAAUAAUUUUAAAGGUU
rnacentral:rRNA from 1 species